CUAGGCAGAGUGGCAGCUGACACGGAGAAAGAAACAGAUUGAGAACGGGAAGAGGAGUGAAAAUACAUAAAGCAUAAAUAAAGCGAAAUCAAAGCAAUAGGAUAGAGAGAAAGGAGAAAGAAGAAGAGAGAAUUAAUCAAACGGGAGAGGGUUAGGGAGAGAGAAAGAAGAAAGAAAGAAAAGAGGGAAAGUGUGCAGUUUACUUAAGAGAGAGGGAAAAGAAGAAAGAAGAGAGAGAAAGAAAGACGGAGAGAGAAAGAGAGAGAGAGAGAAAGAGAGAGAGCUGCCGCCGGCCCAUUGAGGAAAGAUGGCUACAGUCACUGCAAACGGAGUGCAGCAAGAGAAUGGAUUCAGCACCACGAACAGCGCCGGCAGAAUGAACGGGCUCACGAUCGGUCAGAACACCAUUCCAAUGAAGGACCACGACGCCAUCAAGCUGUUUAUCGGACAGAUUCCUAGAAACCUGGAGGAGAAAGAUUUGAAGCCCCUGUUUGAGGAAUUCGGGAAGAUAUACGAACUCACUGUGCUGAAAGACAGGUUUACGGGAAUGCAUAAAGGAUGUGCCUUUCUAACAUACUGCGCCAGAGAGUCAGCCCUGAAGGCCCAGAGCGCCCUCCAUGAACAGAAGACUCUGCCAGGGAUGAACCGGCCAAUCCAGGUGAAGCCAGCCGACAGUGAAGGACGAGGAGAAGACAGGAAGCUGUUUGUGGGGAUGCUUGGGAAGCAGCAGAGCGAGGAGGACGUUCGGCGGCUGUUUGAGACCUUCGGCCAGAUCGAGGAGUGCACCGUCCUGAGAGGGCCUGAUGGGGCCAGUAAGGGCUGUGCCUUUGUCAAGUUUUCCAGCCACACAGAAGCCCAGGCAGCGAUCAACAGCCUGCACGGUGGACAGACCAUGCCAUGUGUGUGUCCUCAGGGGGCGUCCUCCAGCCUGGUGGUGAAGUUUGCCGACACGGACAAGGAGCGGACCCUGCGCCGGAUGCACCAGAUGGCUGGUCAGCUCGGCAUCUUCAGCCCCAUGACCAUCCAGUUUGGGGCCUAUGGCGCCUACUCUCACGCUGUAAGUCUCGGCUCCACGGGGGAGGAGACGCAGAUGAUGCAACAACAAGCAGCACUAAUGGCGGCGACCCAGAACUCGUAUCUGAACCCGAUGGCAGCCAUCGCUGCGGCACAAAUGCAGCAAAUGGCAGCGUUCAAUGUCAAUGGUCUGGUGGCUGCCCCGAUGACACCGUCUUCAGGCACCAGCACGCCCCCGGGUAUCAAUGCCACGGCUGUGCCCAGCCUAGCAGCGCCCAUGGGGGUCAACGGGUUCGCAUCCCUCCCGCCCCAGACUAACGGACAGCCCGCCAACGAGCCCAUCUACACCAAUGGGAUCCACCCCUACCCAGGUGAGACUACCAAUGGGAUUCACCUCUAUUCAGCACAGAGUCCUACAGUGACUGACCCUCUCCAGCAGGCCUAUGCCGGUGUCCAGCACUACGCAGCAGCCUACCCUGCUGCCUAUGCGCCAAUCAGCCAAGCGUUCCCCCAGCAACCCACCAUCAUUCCCCAGCAACAGAGAGAAGUAUGUUGUUGUUAUUUCCCUCCAGGGCCGGAAGGCUGCAACCUGUUUAUUUACCACUUGCCCCAGGAGUUUGGAGACGCAGAACUCAUGCAAAUGUUUCUGCCUUUCGGCAACGUCAUCUCUGCCAAAGUCUUUGUGGACCGGGCAACCAAUCAAAGCAAAUGUUUUGGCUUUGUGAGUUUCGACAACCCCUCCAGUGCCCAGGCUGCCAUUCAGGCCAUGAAUGGUUUUCAGAUUGGCAUGAAGCGGCUGAAGGUGCAACUGAAGCGGCCAAAGGAUGCCAACCGACCGUACUGACCCCUCUGCCAUCCAUAUCCAGGCUGUCGGAGCAGCCAGCCUGAAGGGAGGAGAGCAGAGGAGAUGGAGAAUGACUUUGAUGUAGCAGCUUGAUGAGGGACAAAUGGAGAAUGUCCUAAGAAUGAUGAGGACCGGCCGGUCAUUAUGACAUCCUCAGUGUGCCUCUAACAGUCGUUCCACAAACACCAGCAGGAGCUUUUUGCCCGCGUGCACGAGUGGUGAGUGAGUGAGUGAGUGAGUGAGUGAAUGUCUGUGUUCUCUGCAGUAUGUGCUUUGUGUAUGCCUGUCAUUGUUAGAGCAACACAUUGUAUGUCAGGGUUUAUUCCAUGUUAUUUCCUGUCUGUUUCAACUGUGUUAAUUAUGUUGCUUUAUUAUUUCCUAUUUUAUUAUUUUCAUUUUAACAUAUUAACUCUAGCUGUAGGUGUAGACACGUUAAAAGAAUCAGCAUCCAUAAAUGAUGUGUAGGGAUUGACUUCAUUUUUGUAUAACUUUGUGAUAACAUUAAACGGAUACUUCAUGAUUAAGUAAUUUCCUGCUUAUCCAGAGUCGACUAACACAUGGAUACUACUUCGUACUUUUAAUAACAUGUCUAAAAUAUUCAUUAGUGUGCAUGGCUUUGUAAGGCCAUUAAUGAUCAACCACCCAUCUUUGGAGUAGUUAGAAGCUUUAUUACACAGCUUUUGAGAGGAGCUGGCUAGUACCCACCAAAGACUUCCAGCAUUGCACCAAGCUAACCAUAUGCUUCAGUACCUUCAACUUCUUUUAAUCUGCACGCAGAGACAUACAAAUGGUAUCCAUUAGGAAAUUAGCCAAAAUCCUGAAGUACCCCUUUAAAGUCCAAUCAUCAACAAGCUCAGCAAUCCUGAAGCCAAUUUCUUUCUUAAAGAUAAAUCCAGUUGGGGAAUGGCAUAGGUACUAGCUGUACAUACCAAUAUUAAGGCAUACAAUAAAAAGGGAUAAAAAAAAAAAAUGCAAUUAUUUUGAGUGUAACUGUGUUCGUUUUCAGAUGAAAAACACACCAUUUGGGCAUAGUCUUAUCUUUUGGAAUGCAGUUUAACACUCCAGUCUUUUACCAUGUAAAUGUUUUCUGGCUGAAUAUUCUAAGAACUCCUUUUUUUUUUUUUAAAGACCAUUAUUAUAUGUUUUGUUGAAGGUUCCGUUUUUUUCUCUAAGCCUUUAUUUCCAUUUUAUUUUUUUUUGUCAAUUUGUUGACUUUUUCCAUUUUGACAGUAAUAACCAGCCUCCAUUUGAUUUGUCAGCCAGCGAUGUUGAGAAAAAGGCAGAGGAACGUGUUCAUCAUACUUUCCACUCGAGAAAAAAUAAAAAGAGGAACUCCCACCGCUUCUUUUCUUCUUUUGUUUUGCACCCAACUGAACCUGCCCUGCUGACAGGGCCAAUCAUAGCGUGAGAUGGCCUCUCAGCAAUCGUUGUGUAGCCAACCAGUAGCCACCAAUCACGAGCACAAGGUCCCAGUUCCCACACCUGAUGAAGGGCCACAACACCUUAUUUCCACAAGUGCAGUAUAAAGUACAAAGACUUCUUGCUCUGCUACAUAUCAUGAAAGAAGGGUGGUCCCUUGAAUCUGCUGGAAGAAUAGCUGGAGAAGAUUGAGUUACUAAGGAGGAGAAGGAACCCGGAGAUUCUUUUUUUCUUUUUCCUUUUUUUUUUUUUUUUUGCAAAUGCCUCUUUUUCCCCGUUUUGCUUUGGUGUCUGUAGAAGAGGAUUUUUGCGGAGACCAACUUUUUUGCUGCUGUUUUUUAGACAAGAUGGAAAACCUUUAUAGACACAUAAUGCUCAUAGCAUGCAUACUAACACACGUAUACAUUUAGAGCUUACAAAACACAUAUGCAUACAUAUGGACCAAUAGACACACACAGGUAUUCUCUACUAUCACAGUGUACAUAUGCCAACUCAAACACACUCUUGCGCAAACAAAAACAAACACACACACACACACCAGCCUGCUACCAUUUUGGUUUUUGUGCCUACACAGGUGUGUUGCUCUGUGACAGGGCGAGCUCUGGCGAAAAGAAGACAAGAAGAGGAGAAUCCAGGAUAAUUUACAUGCAUCAUUCCUUAGGAAAUAGGGACCAAAGGACUAAACGCUUUUUAAAAGAAUAUAAAUAUAUAAAUAUAUAUAUAUAUUUAAAAAAAAACUCUUACCUUGUAGCUGCAAGUAUUACAAUUUAUUAGUAGUCAAAAGAAAUCAUUAAAUCAAUAUCCAGUGGCCUAAGUAAGAACAAAAAGGAAAUAAUGUAUACAUUGGAAAAAGAUGAGGAAACCUAGUAAAUGGAUGGUUAUUAUGUACUGGUUGCUGUUUGGCUGCCAGUUAUAGCUUAGAACAUGUAGAAUACUAGAAAAGUAGAUUUGCUAAUUUCUGCUGUUGUUUUUUAAAGAAAAAAAAAUACUUGAACUUGUAAAGUAAGGGGGGAGGGAUGAAAAGAGAAAAAAUAUGAAUUUUGUCUGUCCUGCGCCAGUGGGCUUCGGAACAUUGCAGUUUCUGUGUUGGACGUUACAGUCGGGCCACUGGAUAUCUCAGUCAUCGUGGUGUACAGUACAAUUCACAGCACUAUCUGACGGCUGUAAAGGAACUGUUCUGGAGGACAGAGACGGCAGGAGAAGAGGAAACACUGAUGGACCUUCCCGGUGUCUGUGCUGGACAGGGUGUGAGGCUUACUCUCCAUGAGCCUUUGUGUUCACGCGACAAUCCACUGUAAAGACCAAGCAAAAUCAGACAUGGUGUGUUUUCUUUCAAGCUUUUGUAUUACGACAGGGAGUGUGCUAUUAUGAAACUUAUUUAAAUAAAUCUAUAAAGAGACCAGCUUCUGCAAAGGAGACAGAAAAAAAAUGACAAAAAAUGAAGGCAAGCAGAGAAGAGGAGUGAGUUGAUAGCUACUGAAACUGCCAAAAGGGUGGACUCAACCGUAUCACAAUGAAUUGGCUCUCAUGACAUUUGAGACCCCUGACUAUGUAAAAAAAAAAAAAAUAGACCCAUUAAAAUGAACCACGUUCUAGGCAAAAGGGAGGAAGAAAAAGAGAGGGCAGGGAUAUUCAUGUGCGCUGAAGCAAUUGGAAAGUUGGUAUGAUAUUGAGAAACAUCGCCUCCUGUCUCCCCGGCUGCAGAAUAGAUACAAGCAGAACUUGUUCUGAAAAGACAAACUAUAUUGAUUGAUGUCAAAAGCUUUUAGAGCUCAUUUAGCUUUGUCGUAUAUGAUGUAAAUGCCACUGUUAAUAUGUUCCCUUCCUGACCUGAUUUGUUCAUAUAUUAUACAGUAUAUUGAGCCUGUGGAAAAACCUAACAACCCGUCUCAACCUGACCUAACAGUCUGAAUUACAGCCGUCCAGCAGCCAUCAUUCAGCUCCUCCCUGCCAAUCCAUGCCAGGCAGAAAACACAUCCUUUAUUUUGACAAUUCUACAGUGGUGGAUGGAGCCGGCCCCUCCAUGAACAACGGAUCAAUACGUUCGCAACGAGUCUCCAGGAGCAAGUCAUAUUCUGCCCCCAUGUGAUUAAGUUCUCUCAUUAGAACACUAGCCCCCACUCCCUCAGAGCUGCCUUGAAGAAUGGUGAGCAGGGGGCAGAGGUGGACGGUGGUUGGGAUGGGGGUAGGAAAAUCAACAGCCAAGCCCUGGCCCCCUGAGUACCACUGCGCACGACGCCAGCGUGUCCAACCUCGCCUUUUCCUGUAUCCUUUUUUUGCGGUGAUCCUGGGACUUUUCCCCCCGGGGACCAAAUCCAUUCGAGCAGAAGUCGCAGAAACCGACGACACCCAUCCGCACCCACACACCCUGGCCCGACACCACGGAUGUCUCUGUGUCCUAGCUCUUGGCAUGUAUAAGGCACCUGCCGCCUUCUGUGCAGCCUGCCUCUGUUUACCUCUGGGACUCGCUCUCCAAAGUGGAGCGGACGCAUUCCAAGUCACUGCAGCAUUGACUGACCGAAAGCACUGCCUGCCUGCAUCCCAUCAGACUUAACUACAGUGCAAUGACUUUCAUUCUCUCUCUUCUAGCUGCAUACAGAUCACACCCUACCGCUCUUUUCUGGGAGCAAUGAAAAAAAGUAUUGGAUUUUCUCUUUUUUCAGGCCUAUCUACCCUGGCUUUUACUAUGCCAUAUUACUGUAAUGUAUAUCAACAAUGCUGAGUACUCUGGUCAUUCUGACUCAAGCAGGCUAUACUGUUCAGCCCUUCCCCUGAAACACUGUUCCUAACCAACCCACGGCUCGCGGUGAUCUGUCCCUCCACAUUAGACAUGCUAUUUCACCUUUCCCUCUAAUUAGGUUGUAAUGGUAACUCUUUACAUUAACACCAACCGAGUGAAAAAUCGUCAGCAUAAUCAUUUGGACCAAAUUACUUUGGGCAUGGUCGUCUGAAUGCUCUUUGAUGACAGAAGGUAGAUUAGAGAGAGUUAUGUUUGAAAGGGCUCCCUGGCAAGGCUUUCGACAGCUGACCUGGCACGGACACAGGAUCCAGGAAGCAGGAUAAAACCCUCCGUAUCAUAGCUACUCUAGGUAUUAAUGUUUGAUAUUUGAGUGGUGUGGGUAUAUAUUAUUUCAAACAUCAGUAUAUAUAAAAAAAAAAAAAAAGGUUUCAGUUGUUGCUCCAGGCACAAAAGCUAGUGAGCAAAUAGCAGGUUGAAAUGGGUAGCAACCAAGCAACAUUUGUGUUGAAAAGCCGCGAGUUCCUCCAUUGCAGCCGCCUGCUGAGUGGUCUGUGUUAUUGUACUUCAGCUUUCAGCAUGUAAUUGUAUCUCAACAAUCUUUUCAGAGGCUGCCUUUUUCCUCAAAAUAACCUGCUCAAAAAAAUAAAAAAAAUUCACUACAGUAUUACAGCCGGGACACCUGCAAAGCAUAGAGUAUUGUUCAGAAGUGAAAGGAGGCGAAUUGGUGGAGCAGAGUAGUUCUUUCGAAUCAAAUCAUGCCCAUUGAAGAAACUGUGCCAGCUUUGGUCUUGGGUCGUCUCAACUUGCCUUCAAAAACACAGUAAAAAAAUAAAAAAAUAAAUCACACUCAGCCUUUAGAUGUUCUGAAGUCAGCCAAACAAGCCGGGGCCAGGAAGUCCCAGGAAACAAUGUGUAGGUCAAGCAAAGAGGGUAAGAAGAAACACAUGUCUGCACAGCAGCCAUUUUGAGCUCAUCAUUUACUUAGUGCUCAGUUAUUGAAUGGGAAACCUAGUGUUCCAUGAGCCUUGUCUCCUAUGGUUGUUUCUCUGCUGGCUCAAGACUGGUUCUGUGACCCCCACACCGAGCCCUCCGGGCCGCUUCGUUAGCCUCUCUCGUCUUUCUGUAGAACCAGAUAUAUGCUGCACACCCACAGAAUGUACUUAGAGCAAGGUCGUAUUCAACCCAGGUCCAGUCUCCUGGCCAGUCCUCUGUUCACUGCUUGACUAACAGUGCCGUGCUCGUACAGGGAGCUGCCAAAGCAUGCUCUGAAGGCUAAAUUAGGCGAUGUUAAAUCAGAGAGUUGUUUGAACAAGGGUGCUCUUAUUGCUCUCCCACCCAGGGGAGGGUGUUAUUGUCAUGACAUGCAGUGAAACCAGAAAUAGCUGUUGUGAAGCCAGCCUCUGGAACAUCGGAAAUGUGAAGUGGGUUUGAUUACAUCUCUUAUUGAAUCUCAGCGCAGCUCUGGCCAUGUCUGCCCUUUAGUCCAUGCACAGGCUGCCUGUAUACUGUUAUCUUAGGAGUGAAUCGUUAUUCACACGAUGCGUUUAAUGGCUGCAAUUGGAUGUUGUGCUGACUGACAUCCCACUGCUCAUAUUUGAAAGAGAAAAAUUCAGUAUUGAAAUUGUUGUUUUAUGCUGCUAAUGUGUUUGAGUGACUUAUGGGAAAUUCUUCAAAAAUCAUGACUAAUUAAAUUGUAAUGCCAUCAAAAGAUAUUUAUGGUUAUAUGUUGAUGGCAAAGAUCACUUUAAUGUGACCUUUGAAUGUACUGUAGCAUUAACACCUCUGAGAUAAUUAUUCCCAUUUGGUAACCACAUGUUAUUCUGCCUCUAUUGACAUGUCAGACUUCAUAGGGAGUUAGCAACCUUAGAGCUCCGAGGCUGACAGAGAGGCUGGGUAACCAAUCCUAAAGGCCAGAGAGGUUGACAGAAAGGCUACAUGACCAAUCAUCUGAGUUCUGAGUCUGGCAGUUCAAUAACCAAUCAUAGCGGGCAAAGAGAGAACUGCUGUAGCAUGUCUGCCAGCCCCUGGGUGUAGAGAGCACUCACCCUAAAAUAGCAGUGAUUGUCAAGGAAAGGAAGUGAACUGUAAUUGACUGAAAGUGGAGAGAUAAUUAAAGGAACCUGUUGGACAGGAGGGAGAAAUUAAUGCCUCUCAUUUAAUAGCUGCUUUGGGAGAAGAGGAGAGCUUUUCCCUCAUCUCAAACAGCUAACGCAAAAAGGGUUUUUGGCCAUGGAAAUGGGAUUUCAGCUGAAACGGAAAGUGAAGUGGGUUUGGGGGGAUGGAGUGGGGGAGGUGAGCACUAAACCGAAACUCCACAAAAUCUCUUUUAUACUCAGGGCAUCAGGCGCUAUGAUGUCAGGAUUAGUGGAGACUUUCAGAGCCUUGCCUUCCCCAUGGGGAGCAGUGGCUGAGCGGUCACCCAGAGAGAUGGAGAGGUUAGUGGGAGCGUGUUGGGCCUCGGCCGAUGACACUGUGGGUCUCUGUAUGAACCAGAGAGAGGAUCACAGUCAGUCAGCCAGCUAGUCAGUCAGACGGGGGGGGGGGGGGGGGGUACAAUUUGUCUAAAGCAGAACAGUGGCACAGGAACAUGAAAACAAUAAUGCCUUGAAAAUAUCAGGUCAUCGAGCAAAAAAAGGCUUUGAUCCUAUCAUAAACAACAUAAAUAGCAGUGAAUCAGAGGAAAGAGUGCAAUCAUGUUUGACAACAAAGCUGGAGAUUAAAAUCCCAAAUGAUGAAGACAAAUACUUUUUUAUUAUUUCAUGUAAAUAAAAAAGAAAAGAAUCAAAGGUAGCAGGCAGUAGGUACUGCCCAGCAUGCAGAGAUGUCUGCAGUAGUUACCCAGCUGAAUGGGAUAUUGAUGUCACUAUAAAACGUAUCCACAACAGCCCAGGGAUUCUUUAGAAGGUGGGGCAUUUUAACGCUUUUUGGUUAGUGUGUCAACAUGAUUGUAUAGGCUCAAUACCAGGAGUGUCAGACAGAUGGCCCAUGGGUCCAGUCUGCUAAUAGAGUGGCUUGAGUAAAAAUUGAAAG